GAGCUCUUUUCUUGGUCAAACUUUCUCACAGAACAAGCAAAAAUCGUUGAAUCGCUGAAGAACAAGCAAAAAUCACUAAAGGUUUAUCAGAUUUCACGAUUUCACGUUGAAGAGAUGAAGAGCUACUCUCUGAAGAACAUGAUUUCACGAUUUCUUGUUGAAGAGCAGAAGGUUAUGCCUCACAGAUGAAUACGCCUCACUAAAAUGCUUCACUUGAGAAGAUGGUGUCUUAAAGCUUCAUCACAUUGAAAGGAUUUUGGUGGAAUAGGGUUUAUCAGGGCUAAUGAGUUCUAAAGAAAAGAAUGAUGACUCCCUCUCAACAAAAAGGUCUGCUGAGAUGAAACUUAGACGACGUGAAAUGGAUAGACUGGUUUCUGUAGAAAAAAGAGAGGCACAAUUACUACAACGUCAAACAAACAGUCAGGAGCUAAAAAGAAA